UCCAGGCUCUGAGCUGUCAGCACAGAGCCUGACGUGGGGCUUGAACCCAUGAACUGUGAGGUCACGACCUGAGCCAAAGUUGGAUGCUUAACCGAAUGAGCCACCCCGGUGCCCCUUUCUUAUACCACUUUAAAUGUCCUGGUGCAAAAAUUUAAACCUAUCAGAAGGCAUGUGGCAAAUGUCCAAUUAAAUGACAUUCAAUGCACAAAUAGAACUUUCACCACAGUCCUUAUUCUUGGGAGAUUUUAUCCCAAUUUCAAAUGCAAUAAGUGACAAUAAAUCCUUUAACCAUCAUAUUUUCAGGGUAUGGUCAAUUUCAGCUUUAUUCCUUUUUAGUAAGGAAGUCUGCAACAAAGAGGAAAUCAUUAUUAUUAUUAUUAUUAUUAUUAUUAUUAUUAUUAUUACUAUUAUUAUUGGUAGUAGUAGCAGUAGUAGUAUUUGGUUAAGAUCUUAUCACUCUAAAAGACUCUUCAUACACAGCCCUGGGCUAUUGUGUGAAAAUUCUUGGACCAGCCAGCCCACUAUCCAUGGUAUUUAGUAACCCCGUAAAAGUUAAAUUUGUUUUAUUUAUAGGUUGGAAGAGCCUUUACCCACGAGGAGUACUGAAUAAAUAGACUUUCGCUAUUUCUCUCCAAAGAGGUUGGGAAGGAACCACUCAUGAGGAAAGCCUGGAGGGUACAAAUUGUCAGAAUGAAGUAUGGUCCUUUGUUCAGAAUCAGAAGAGUUAACCACUCAAAUCAUAAAAUACCAGCUGAAGCUCACUUCACCAAGCAGAGGGGAGCAACAUGCAAAGAAGAGAAACAGGACAACACUGAAAAUACUCGAGAUAUAAUCUCUCCAGAUUAAAUCAAGACGAGUCCACUUAGGAUCCUAGAGGUCAUGCUUUUGACGAAAAGAUCUAGGAAGCAUGCUUCAAGGUAGCACAGAAGAGAGUCAGAGCUUUUUGUCUUCUUUUUUUAAUUUAAUAAAACAGAAUGAGAUUGAGCGAUGCAGAAUAAGCUGCCUAUCUGAGAGCUGCCUGAGGCUGAAGGAAGAGAUACGACAUUGAGACAGAGCUAACCUAACUGGCUCUCAUGGGGAUUGAUCGCAUGCCUGACCUUCCACUACAGUGUUCUAAGCAUUUGAGAUAACUGGGUGUGCCUCCCCUACAAAUGCAACAGGUUGAGUCUGGAGGGAAAAAAUGGGACAAGAUCUGAAUGAGUGCUGAGUCUACACUGAGGAGCCUUGACUUCAGUGACAUCCUUACAUAUGAAGUUGUUUAGGAAGAGAAUGCUGUUAAAUGCUGUGAUUUCUAAAACCCACCUUGGACCAGAGAUGAUGCUAACGUUUGUCACUCGGUGACAUCAACAGGUUCAUAGAUAUGAUGAGAUGAAUACUUUAAGCUUGCAGGUGUCUCAGAAGGAAGAAAAAGUAGAGGAAAAUAUGUGAAGGCUGGCGAAGAAUACAGUCAAGAGUUGAGGAUGAGCUGAAGUAGUGACCAUGGUAGGUGCAAAAGCUACUUAGGAGCCAGGAUUGAUAACUGGAAGUGACAAUCAACCAGAUAUGGAAGGUGAGAGAGACGAAAGAUGAAGCUUCAGUGCCUCUUGGCUUUCUAGCCUAGGGAAUGGGUUAAUUCUCCAAGAGAGGAAAUACAGGAGAGGCUCUAAGUUUGGUAGGGGGGUAGACUGUUAAAUUUAGUAUUGUUAUUGGUACUCAUUGCUCCUUGGAUUGUAAUUAUGGUAUUGGCAUUUUCUCUAUGAGGCUUAAAACAUAUCCCAGGAAGGAUAAUUUCGCUCACUGACAUACUGAGCAAAUAAGGGAAAACAUGGUGAUUUGAAAUGUGUACUUCAAACACAAGAAAGAUAGUUUUCAGUAAAGCUUGUAUAUAUACCUAAAAUUGAGAGGCAUGACUCCACCUCCCAUUUCCAGUCCUCCUACCCCUCCAUAGUCUCAGAGACAAAGGUGGUAAUUCAAGAUGACUUAGGGUAUGUUGAUACAAUGCCAGAUGUUUAGACAAAUUAUUAAGAAGUGGCAUAAUCCAGACCUCUUCCAAAGUGGGUAUGGGAGCAACCGAGCUGUUGCCUGAAUUUUUCCUUUUUGUAAAGCUGUUUGGCACUAUGCAGAUAUAGUUAAAGUCCUAUAAAUGCCUUGGCUAUAGAAAGGGCAAAACCUCAUAAAGAAGAUUUUGAGCAAAGAGUGUGUGCCAGUAUUCUAACUCUUGGGGAAUAUUAACUAUUUAACAGCAUUUUUUUUUUAUGGUAUCAAGCCUAUGAGGUAGAUAUUACUAUCUUUGGUUCACAGAUGAGGAAAAUGGGAGUGAGAAACAAACAAAAACCUGCCUGUGUUUGUUCAACUAGGAAGUGGCAGAACUCUUCUAACCCCGUUCCCUACAUUAUCUGACCACCUCUGGACCUCUCAUCAGUUGAUGCCCUUCUUUUUCAGUGCUCCAUCCUCUUUAUGCCUUCCUUUCACUCUGCCCUCAGCUUAGACUCCAAACGCACAGUUAUCAUUAUCCUCUUGCAAACCCUCACUUUCCUAGCCUCUCAGUUCUUCCAUCUUUCUCAACCAGCAAAGCUCAAUCCUUGAAGCCAGCCCUGUCUACUUCAUACCUAUCCCACAGUCACUGAUGGGGGGCUAGACAAAAAACACUCAACCAUGCUCACUUAUCUUGCCUCAAGUCUGUGACCACAGACCUCAAGUGGGCCCUCUCCCCUGCCUGGGAAUCUGGCCACUUUGUCUAGUUGAUUGCCUCUUUUGUAAUUCAAGACACCCAUGGUCAAAUGGCUUCUCAUUUUUCAAAUGUCCUACCCUGUUCCCUUCUCCUUACUUUCCAAUGAAGACUUUGCCUCUUGUUUGACUGAAGAAAUAGUCACGAUCUGAUGGCAAACUGGUAAACACACCCAUUCUCAUGACCAAAUUUACCAACCUGUCUGCAUCUUAACCUACAGACUCAGCCUUCUUCCUAUUUACAUAUUAUUCGUAAGAAUCGUUCACGCUUUAUUAAGACCAACAUCUCGACUUACGUGUUGGAGCUUAUCCCCUUUUCUAGGACUUUGUUCCUGCAGUUGUCUUCUCUCUGUCCUCAUGAUCAUUAUCCCCCUCUCUGGUGAUCAUUGCCAUCAGCAGACAAGCAUACUUUACUAUCUCCCAUCUUAAGAAAACAAAACUUGCCCUCGAUCCACAUUCCCUUCUAGCUCUUACCUUAUGUUUUUCCUUUCUUUUAAAGCAAACUCCUAAAAAGAAUUGUCCAUCUCUAAUUACUCUUUCCACUUUCUUACCCUGAAUUCUCUUUUUAACCUGUGCUAAUCAGGCUUAGGCUCCCAAUCCUUCAAAAACAAUUUUUAAAACCAUACUCGUCAAUGUCACCAAAAACGACAGGUUGUCAAAUCCAAUGAUGAAUUCUCAGUACUGCUUUUAAACUCUUAGGAGCUCUGACAAAGUUGUUUACUUCUUCCUUCUUCAAACACUUUGUUCUCUUGGCUUCUGGAAUAGUGUGUUCUGGAUUUUAUUCUUCACUAGUCACCCAUUAUUAGUAUUUUUUUUUUUUUGGCUUCUCCAUCCCUGCCAUAAUUCAAAGAUUCAGGUGGUUCUCUGUUGUUUCCUCUUCUCCAGAUGCGUGUACUUUCAGGUGACCUCACACAAUCUGAUAACUCCCAAAUGUUGAUCUCUUCUCCUAACCUCUUCCACGAGUUAUGAAAUACCAAGCUACCUAUUGAAUAUUUAGAGUGUCUGUUACAUAUAUUAUACUUACUAUGGCCAAAAUAGAACUCUUGGUUCUCUCUCUCCCCCUUAAAAUACUCUGAUUUUUUUCAGCCUUUUUCAAAACCUAGAAAUUGUUCUUGAUUUCUCUUUUCCCUUCAUUUCCUACACCCAACUCAUCAGCAAAAUUUGCUUGCUUUCCCUUAAUCUCAUCACUUCCCUCCAUGGCUACCAACACUUCUAGUCUAGGUUACUAUUUUCUCUUGCCUGGACUAUAAAAGCCUACAAAUUGAUCUCAUUGCUUCUACUCUUCCCUCUACCCAGUCCUGUUCUCUAUGCGGCAGCCAGUGUUCUUUUUACAAAGAAUUAUGUUCUGUCCUCCUAAAACUACUUCAAUUACUUCCCAUUUUACUGAGAAUAAAAAUUCAGACUGCUUAAUGGCCUACCAGGUGUUACCUGAUCUAGCCACAGUUUACCGUUCUCACCUUAUUUUCUACCACUUUUCUACUAAUCAACAUGGCUUUCCUUUAAUACAGCAAACUCAUCCCUGCCCCAGAGCCUUUGCACUACUUAAUCCAUCUAUCCAGAAUGCUCUCAGCCCAGAUAUUUAUAGAACUCCUGUCAUCAAAAGUACAGAGCAUCUUAAAAAGCAUAGAACAUCAGAAUUUGAAGAGUCUUAGGGAUCUUCAAAACCCAUCCUUGCAUUUUACAG